rnacentral:rRNA from 1 species
CGCGUCUUAGCAUGCAAGUCGAGCGGUAAGAGGUAGCAAUAUCUCCUAGAGCGGCGGACUGGUGAGUAACGCGUGGGUGACCUACCCUUGGGUUGGGGAUAGCCAUUAGAAAUAGUGGGUAAUACCGAAUGAGGUUACUGGGCUAUGGUCUAGUAAAGAAAGGAGCUCUGGCUCCGCCCGGGGAUGGGCCCGCGUCCCAUUAGCUAGUUGGGGGGGUAAGAGCCGACCAAGGCGAUGAUGGGUAGCCGGCCUGAGAGGGUGAACGGCCACACUGGGACUGAGAUACGGCCCAGACUCCUACGGGAGGCAGCAGCUAAGAAUAUUCCGCAAUGGACGGAAGUCUGACGGAGCGACGCCGCGUGGAUGACGAAGGCCGAAAGGUUGUAAAAUUCUUUUGCGGAUGAAGAAUAAGCGGGGGAGGGAAUGCCCCUGUGAUGACGUUAGUCCGUGAAUAAGCCCCGGCUAAUUACGUGCCAGCAGCCGCGGUAACACGUAAGGGGCGAGCGUUGUUCGGAAUUAUUGGGCGUAAAGGGCACGUAGGCGGUUAUGUAAGUCUGGCGUGAAAGGCGGGAGCUUAACUUCUGGACUGCGCUGGAAACUGUAUAACUUGAGUCAUGGAGGGGGAGUUGGAAUUCCUGGUGUAGGGGUGAAAUCUGUAGAUAUCAGGAAGAACACCGGUGGCGAAGGCGAACUUCUAGCCAAUGACUGACGCUGAGGUGCGAAAGUGCGGGGAGCAAACAGGAUUAGAUACCCUGGUAGUCCGCACUAUAAACGAUGUACACUAGUGUUGGGCCGAGCGGUUCAGUGCCGAAGCGAACGUGAUAAGUGUACCGCCUGGGGAGUAUGCCCGCAAGGGUGAAACUCAAAGGAAUUGACGGGGGCCCGCACAAGCGGUGGAGCAUGUGGUUUAAUUCGAUGAUACGCGAGGACCUUACCUGGGUUUGACAUGGUAGCGGAUGGUGCAGAGAUGUAUCAGCGUAGCAUACGCGCUAUCACAGGUGCUGCAUGGCUGUCGUCAGCU